UACGGAGGGUGCAAGCGUUGUUCGGAUUUAUUGGGCGUAAAGCGCGUGUAGGCGGUCUUCUAAGUCUGAUGUGAAAGCCCUGGGCUCAACCCAGGAAGUGCAUUGGAUACUGGAAGACUUGAAUACGGGAGAGGGUAGUGGAAUUCCUAGUGUAGGAGUGAAAUCCGUAGAUAUUAGGAGGAACACCGGUGGCGAAGGCGGCUACCUGGACCGAUAUUGACGCUGAGACGCGAAAAGCGUGGGGGAGCAAACAGG
rnacentral:rRNA from 1 species